rnacentral:rRNA from 1 species
CUUCCAGCAGUCCCAAAUAUUAGUCAAUGCUCGAAAGAGUGAACUAGCUAACUGAAAUCAAUUAAAUAAUUGAUAACAUAAGGGAAAAUAAUAGGAUAUUACCUUAUUAUUAGUAGUCGUCCAAAACUCGGUGCCAGAAGACUCGGUAAGGCCAGAGACACAAACGUUAAUCGUCUUAAUCAGGCGUAAAGGGUUUGUAGGCGGCUUUUAAAUUUAGGUAAAAAAUAUUUUAAGUAAAGAAUAAAAGCUAGAAUCAAAUAGAGGAUAUAUGAAAGAAUGCUUAGAGUAGGUCCGAUAUCCUUAGAUACUAAGUAGAAUAUUAAAGGCGAAAGCUUUUUUCCAUUAAUGAUUGACGCUCAGAAACGAAGGUGAGGAUAGGAAAUAGGAUUAGAUACCCAGAAUACCCCUCUCUGUAAACGAUGAAUGGUAGUUAUUAGUAAAAAUUAUUAAUGGCAAUGUUAACACGAUAACCAUUCCGCCUUGUGAGUACAACUGCAAAGUUGAAAACAAAAAAAUUAGUCGGUUUCGGAGCAAACGAAGUGAAGCAUGUUAUUUAAUUCAAUAAUUCCGCAAAAAU